rnacentral:lncRNA from 1 species
GCUGUCUACUGCCUGACAUUUACUUGAAGCAUUCCUGCCUUUGCUCUCUGUCGGCGCCCUUUAGGAUCUGCUGUUGCUGCUGCCAAACUCGCUCUCGGCUGCAUCUCAAGAUUCUGCUGAACACACCAUCGUACUCUCUAUUUCGCCACAAGCCUCUUAAAGGCCAAAAUCCCAAUUCAAGGUGUCUGCAAUCCAUUUAUAACUAAAACUAGCCUCUGGCCAUCCGAUCAACUCUCAAAAUCAGCGCUAUCAAGCCGCUCGCAUUUCUAUCCAUUGGAUCGUGCAAUAUUGAGUCCCCGAUCCAUCAAAAUGCUUGUAAAUCAUGCAAAAUAGAUUAGAAACCACCAUCGAUCCACGUAAACCAUGAGAAAUUGGGCAAGAAAUACCCAGCUGGUCCACGCGAUGCCCCAUGGACUGUCGGUCCAUGCACCACACG